UAAUAAGUGGGUGUUGUUCUCAGCUGCUAAGUUUGUGGCAAUUUGUUUUGCAGCAAUAGAAAAUUAAUACAUGGGGGAAUACAGAAAAGUAAACAUGAAAAAUUCAAUAGUGACCUGCAAGAUUGCCCAACUCUCUGCUGUUUCCUCUGAUGCUUAUCAGUGGUCCUCUGCCAGGCUCUGCUAACUCAUACGUACUCAUGAAAUCUAUGGGAUCAACACUUUUACAGUACAUCUGGGAGACACCAGAAUGCAACUCAGUAGCAAUGAAGGACAGAGCACUCUCCAAGAGGAAGAGAAGAAUCAUCAGCAGAAUUUGUAACUGCCUUUAUCAACAACUCACAUCUGCUGACAGCUGAUGGUCCAGUGACACUGAAAGAUACAAGGCUAUAGGAAACCACGAGUGGCUUCUAGCUGGGUCUUCAAGUGUGGUCAAGAUUGCAGAAGCAAUGCUGCCAGGAGAAGACCAUCAGCUACUGCAAACCAAGGACAUAAUAUAUGGAACUCCAUCAUGCAGCCAAAGCACUCCAAGUUUAAUCUCCAAGCAUUCAUCUCCCAAGUUCAGAUUUUUUUUCUUCCCUCUUCUCAGCUGGUGCAUUCCCCAACUUCUGAAUGUCUAAAAAUACCCAGCGUGGUUCCCUCUACAAAACACCAGCACCCUGCCAGCUGUUAAAUAAAUAAACUCGAAACAGAAAUGC